rnacentral:rRNA from 1 species
GAUGAACGCUGGCGGCGUGCCUAAUACAUGCAAGUCGAGCGAAUGGAUUAAGAGCUUGCUCUUAUGAAGUUAGCGGCGGACGGGUGAGUAACACGUGGGUAACCUGCCCAUAAGACUGGGAUAACUCCGGGAAACCGGGGCUAAUACCGGAUAACAUUUUGAACCGCAUGGUUCGAAAUUGAAAGGCGGCUUCGGCUGUCACUUAUGGAUGGACCGGCGUCGCAUUAGCUAGUUUGUGAGGGAACGGCUCACCAAGGCAACGAUGCGUAGCCGACCUGAGAGGGUGAUCGGCCAAACUGGGACUGAGACACGGCCCAGACUCCUACGGGAGGCAGCAGUAGGGAAUCUUCCGCAAUGGACGAAAGUCUGACGGAGCAACGCCGCGUGAGUGAUGAAGGCUUUCGGGUCGUAAAACUCUGUUGUUAGGGAAGAACAAGUGCUAGUUGAAUAAGCUGGCACCUUGACGGUACCUAACCAGAAAGCCACGGCUAACUACGUGCCAGCCGCCGCAGUAA